ACGGGUGAGUAACGCGUGGGAACGUGCCCUUCGGUUCGGAAUAACUCAGGGAAACUUGAGCUAAUACCGGAUACGCCCUUUUGGGGAAAGGUUUACUGCCGAAGGAUCGGCCCGCGUCUGAUUAGCUAGUUGGUGAGGUUAUGGCUCACCAAGGCGACGAUCAGUAGCUGGUCUGAGAGGAUGAUCAGCCACACUGGGACUGAGACACGGCCCAGACUCCUACGGGAGGCAGCAGUGGGGAAUAUUGGACAAUGGGGGCAACCCUGAUCCAGCCAUGCCGCGUGAGUGAUGACGGCCUUAGGGUUGUAAAGCUCUUUUCUUCGGGACGAUAAUGACGGUACCGGAGGAAUAAGCCCCGGCUAACUUCGUGCCAGCAGCCGCGGUAAUACGAAGGGGGCUAGCGUUGCUCGGAAUCACUGGGCGUAGAGGGCGCGUAGGCGGCUGAUUUAGUCGAGGGUGAAAGCCCGUGGCUCAACUACGGAAUGGCCUUCGAUACUGAUUGGCUUGAGACCGGAAGAGGACAGCGGAACUGCGAGUGUAGAGGUGAAAUUCGUAGA
rnacentral:rRNA from 1 species